CUUCAUCUGCAGACAAAAGGGCACUGGUUAGUCAUCUGUUUAAUUCUCUUGCUGCAGCAUGUCAUUUGGAUGUUGAAGGAAAAUCCCUUGAUUCACUCUGCCAUUUCUGACAGUCUCCCUCUAGACCACAUUAAUAAGCUUUUUAGAGAAGUGAAUGCAGAAUAAUCAGCAGGCAGCCUGAACUCAAAAUGGAGACAGAACAGACAGCAGAAAUGCCUUCUUCCCUUUGUAGUUAUGGUGCAUAGGUGACCCUUUUCUCACAGAACAGCAAAUAAUUUAAACUAAGAUUACCUUUGAAAGCCACAGCGUAAUUAACCAUUUUAUGCAUGUGAUGGCUGCCUAGCUUCAAAACCUGAUGCUUUGUAAAGGAAAAGAUUCAGCUGCAUUUGAGUUAGAUUUAUGAAACAUGCUAACAAUAGAGCAGACAGAUAGAAAGGCUGCUUGGCAUCCUGGAAUACCUGGGGAAUUUCACUCAGAAAACAAACAUGUUACUCUUUAAUGUAGGCUCACAUCUCAUUAUAAUAUCACAAGUCGAAUGAGACACACUUCGCCUUUGUAACUGUGUUGCCAGGAGGCAGAGGGACAAAGAGAAUAGGACACAACAGUGAAGACCCUGACAGGAUCAUGCUUAAGCGGGAUGGUUAGCUGCUGUCCAGCCAGUGACAGUCACAAUCUCCAGAGCAACAGUGACUCCAGCUGGAUUGAUUGAAAGUCCCUGAAGCACUUUUCAUUGGAUCCUUACACCCAAAUGGCUCACGGUUCUAUAUGAUCAGUUCUACAUCUGCAAGAACGCUACCCACUGAAUAUUUACAAGUGUGGUUUCCAUGUACAAUUUCAUCAGUUCUAAGGCUGGAAAUGUCUGGAGGAGUUUCUUUAAUGAUCAAGGUCUCCACUCAGGAUAUUAAUACAUUUAAACGUGCAGAUAGGCACUAUCUAAUAGUGUCUAUGGACUAGGUACAACAUACCCUGUCUAUCCCUUCUGAAGAGCCCAUGUGUAUGACAGUUGUGAGAUUCAUCCCACCAUGUUUCCUGAUAGCAACCAGAUCAAAAUUUUCCAAGCACAUCAUGGUUUUCAACUCCUCCUGCUUAUCUUCCAUGCUGUGUAUUAGUGUAAAGGCUUUGAUCUAGGACUUAAACUGAUCUUUUUACCUAGACAGCUUGCAAAAAUAUUACUUUGUUUAUCUUCCUACAUGAUAUCUUCUAUGCUCUUUUGUACUAGUAGAUGAAUAAAGUUGGUAUAUAUGCUGAAGUCCUAAUACUCUGCUUUAGGUAUGGUAAAACAAAAUCAGACAUCAUUUGCUAUCCCAAUUCUGAGGACCACUCUGAAAAUAAUUCCUCCUAUUUUAUUAUGUUGGCCCACAACUUCAGAAACAGAUAUUGGUGCCUUGCAGUCAGAUCUUCCCACCAGUACCCCAUCUUGUUUCCAUGCAACAGAUGACAGCAGAGGAGCAGUCUGACAAAAUGGCAUCUGACAUGGAAGUGUAUAUGAAGCAAAGGUGUGUCAUUAAAUUCCUGCAUGAGGAAAAAAUGGCACUCACUGACAUUCACUGAUAGUUUACUGAACAUUUUUCAAGACCAUACAGUGGAUGUGAGGAUGGUGAAGUGGUGAGUGGUACAAUUCAGCAAUGAUGCCAUCAUAGCAGCUGUGAAGCAGUGGGUCACCUCCACUGGUGCAGAUUUUUACAACCACAUCAUGCAGACUCUUGCUUUCCACUGUCUAAAAUAAGACAGUGGAAAGCAAGUGGUGACUAUGUUGCAAAUGAGUGCUUUGAAUACAAGUGUUUUGUAGCUGAGAUUUCCUCUAUCAAAUAGCAUUAUUGUGCCCUUUGUUGCAGUUUCUAUGGAAAUUAAUAGGAAGCAUUACUUUCAGAGCUACCUACGUACAACCAUUUCAGAUGUAAUUCUUUUGAAUUGCAAGUCUACCUGUUCAAGACUACCCUAUCGCUCAAGUAAAAAAAAAAAAAAAAAAAGAAAUACCUGAGCAAAACAAAUUGGAUUUGGUCUGUGGUUUCUGAAGCAUCACAUGGAGGGAAAUUUUCUUGUACUUACUUUUAUUUAUUUAGUUAUUUUAAAUUAAUGACUUAACAUCUAUGAGUCUUGAUCAGAACUCUUCAGCCUCCAGCUGAAUGAAAUUGUUGUUCCUUGCUUAGAAUAACCUGUUGCUUAAGACAAAGCACAAGCUGGCCUCCUUCUUAUUGUAAUUAACUUCAUUUUAUAUUAAUCAAGCAUGGCUGUUUCUUCUGAUAGUAUAUAAUAAAGGGAUAUAGUCAGUUUUUUAAUUGUAUUGCUGUUUUGCUUUGAUAUAUUUCAAAUACAAAUAACACAAAACAUACUUAUAAAUUAAUGUUAUUUGGUAAUAUUGGAACCAUUUCCAAGUAUAGAAACAUAAGUAAUGAAAUUACCUUAAUUCUAAUGCAGACCAAUAAAACAGAAAGUAAUCUUAUUAUGAAUUACAUACAGUGUUUUAGGAUGAGCAAAGAUUACUAUUUUGGAAGAUUGUAUUAUAUUUUUUGAGCUAACCUCUGCAUUUUCUCAGCAAGAACUUAUUUGGUGUAAAAGACACAGUUUAAAAAUAGUGUGUUAUGAAACAGUCAUUUUUUCUUGCCCUUGCACAUCUCUAAUUGACUAACUACUUUAACCUCACCUUCUAAAUGUGGGAAGGCUACUGAGAAAAUGAAAAUGAUUUUCCCAAAAUCUAAAUUGAGAGGAAGAUGACUGUGAUUAAUUUUACCUACUCCCCCUUUCCUAUCACACAUGUGCAACCUGUAUUUCCAAGUGAUUUAUAUACUAAAGUGGUCCUUGAUGCUUUACAGUUAAAUGAGGAUCCUAUUGUUUCGAGAAGAAAGCACUUGAUUUUCUGUGAGAAUAUACAGUGAGAAUAUACAAUUACAAAAUAAGCAAACAACAACAACAACAACAAAAAAAAAAAAAAAAAAAAAAAACAUGUGCCUUGCCAAUAAACAGAUAAAACCUGGAUUAGAAUUAGAAUUACUAGAAACACAAAGGUUGGAAAAGACCCACAGGAUCAUCCAGUCCAACCAUUCACCCAUCACCAAUGGUUCUCACUAAACCAUUAGAAGCACAACUGUGCUUAUUGGAAUUUGAAACUUUACAUAGAAAAUUCACAUCCUACCAAGGUGAAGUUGAAACAUUUUAGUCUUCAGAAAUUCACAUAGCUGUCUUCAAAUUCCUCUUCAAUUACCAGGAUGAACAAGAAGGACUAACUUCGGAAGUACGUUACAUAUUUCCCAUGCAUGUAAUUGUCAAAUAAAUAACUAAACAAAAUAUGUGAAAUAGACACAUUGUUACAAUACUACUUUUUUCCUUCCCCUCUUACCCCAGUUCAACUUUAACAAAUUACAUUCUAUGGGCACAUUCAUCUGAUAAACAGAAUGAAAAAAAAAAAAGAAAGGUAAUGAAGAAGGAACACUUAAAUUUGAAGAAAAGUUGUAGCUGGAAAAACUCACAAAACUUUCAGACAAAGCAACAGUCUUUCAGGUGUGAACAAUAAAUACUAUUACUUCAACAGUAAAAUAAGCAGACAUUUAAAAUUAGAGAUCGGUAAACAGUAACCUAUACUUUUCAAGGAAAAACAUAGACGGGACUAUCAGAAACAAUGUUCUUUCAUGAUAUAUAGAAAUGAGUGCAAUUUGUGGCAAUAUUAGAAUGCUCCUGCUGUGGGUUCCAUCAAGUUGUGAGACUGAUUAAUCAAGAAUGAAUGCAUUUGAGCACGUCUGAGGUACCUGGGCUUUGGAAAAGGCAAACUGCUAAGGCACUGGCUGUUCUGAGUUAAAGAUAUUUCAGUGCUUGCUUAUAUGACUUUAAAGUAAUCAUCAGAGAUAAAAUUGAAUUGCGAAAAUAGGGAAGAAACAAAGGCUGACAUAAAGCUUACAUGGCAAUACAGCUUGGAAAUUGCUCAAAAUGAUGAUUAAUAUUAAAUUUUACUCUUACUUAUUUUGUUCUUGGAAGAUUUUUGUUUAAACCAUUCCAGAAGUAGAAAUGAAAUGCCUCAAAUGUGGAAUCGUGAAAUCUAAAAUUUGUCGAUGCUGUACAUCCUUCUUAUCUGAAAAAAAAAAAAAAAAAAAACCCUAAAAUUGAAUAACCCUAUCCUCUGAAUUAUGUAAGAAUAGAAAUUCUACUUAUUGUAACUAUGAACAGAAGGUAUAACUCUACCCUAAGGAUGGAAAAUCUACUCAUUGUAACUAAGGACUAUGUUUUCACAGUGACCAUUAAAAGGUCAUAAAAAGCUGUUGAUGAUGCUCAAGUUUUCUUUCCUUGCUUGAAAGUAAAUAUGAAAGGAAU